AAAGCAGAUCGCAUGAUCAGCUUUUAAAAGGCGGCGUAAGCUGUCGCUAAGGGAUGGCCCCGCGGUGCAUUAGCUAGUUGGUAAGGUAACGGCUUACCAAGGCAACGAUGCAUAGCCGAGUUGAGAGACUGAUCGGCCACAUUGGGACUGAGACACGGCCCAAACUCCUACGGGAGGCAGCAGUAGGGAAUCUUCCACAAUGGACGCAAGUCUGAUGGAGCAACGCCGCGUGAGUGAAGAAGGUUUUCGGAUCGUAAAGCUCUGUUGUUGGUGAAGAAGGAUAGAGGUAGUAACUGGCCUUUAUUUGACGGUAAUCAACCAGAAAGUCACGGCUAACUACGUGCCAGCAGCCGCGGUAAUACGUAGGUGGCAAGCGUUGUCCGGAUUUAUUGGGCGUAAAGCGAGCGCAGGCGGAAAAAUAAGUCUGAUGUGAAAGCCCUCGGCUUAACCGAGGAACUGCAUCGGAAACUGUUUUUCUUGAGUGCAGAAGAGGAGAGUGGAACUCCAUGUGUAGCGGUGGAAUGCGUAGAUAUAUGGAAGAACACCAGUGGCGAAGGCGGCUCUCUGGUCUGCAACUGACGCUGAGGCUCGAAAGCAUGGGUAGCGAACAGGAUUAGAUACCCUGGUAGUCCAUGCCGUAAACGAUGAGUGCUAAGUGUUGGGAGGUUUCCGCCUCUCAGUGCUGCAGCUAACGCAUUAAGCACUCCGCCUGGGGAGUACGACCGCAAGGUUGAAACUCAAAGGAAUUGACGGGGGCCCGCACAAGCGGUGGAGCAUGUGGUUUAAUUCGAAGCAACGCGAAGAACCUUACCAGGUCUUGACAUCUAGUGCAAUCUGUAGAGAUACGGAGUUCCCUUCGGGGACGCUAAGACAGGUGGUGCAUGGCUGUCGUCAGCUCGUGUCGUGAGAUGUUGGGUUAAGUCCCGCAACGAGCGCAACCCUUGUUAUUAGUUGCCAGCAUUAAGUUGGGCACUCUAAUGAGACUGCCGGUGACAAACCGGAGGAAGGUGGGGAUGACGUCAAGUCAUCAUGCCCCUUAUGACCUGGGCUACACACGUGCUACAAUGGGCAGUACAACGAGAAGC
rnacentral:rRNA from 1 species